rnacentral:rRNA from 1 species
GACGAACGCUGGCGGCGUGCCUAAUACAUGCAAGUCGAGCGAAGUUUUUCUGGUGCUUGCACUAGAAAAACUUAGCGGCGAACGGGUGAGUAACACGUAAAGAACCUGCCUCAUAGACUGGGACAACUAUUGGAAACGAUAGCUAAUACCGGAUAACAGCAUUAACUGCAUGGUUGAUGUUUGAAAGUUGGUUUUGCUAACACUAUGAGAUGGCUUUGCGGUGCAUUAGCUAGUUGGUGGGGUAAAGGCCCACCAAGGCGACGAUGCAUAGCCGACCUGAGAGGGUGAUCGGCCACACUGGGACUGAGACACGGCCCAGACUCCUACGGGAGGCAGCAGUAGGGAAUCUUCCGCAAUGGGCGAAAGCCUGACGGAGCAACGCCGCGUGAGUGAAGAAGGAUUUCGGUUCGUAAAGCUCUGUUGUUAGGGAAGAAUGGAUAUGUAGUAACUAUACAUGUAAGAGACGGUACCUAACCAGAAAGCCACGGCUAACUACGUGCCAGCAGCCGCGGUAAUACGUAGGUGGCAAGCGUUGUCCGGAAUUAUUGGGCAUAAAGCGCGCGCAGGUGGUUUAAUAAGUCUGAUGUGAAAGCCCACGGCUCAACCGUGGAGGGUCAUUGGAAACUGUUAAACUUGAGUGCAGGAGAGAAAAGUGGAAUUCCUAGUGUAGCGGUGAAAUGCGUAGAGAUUAGGAGGAACACCAGUGGCGAAGGCGGCUUUUUGGCCUGUAACUGACACUGAGGCGCGAAAGCGUGGGGAGCAAACAGG